rnacentral:snRNA from 1 species
GUGCUCGCUUUGGCAGCACAUAUACUAAAAUUGGAACGAUACAGAGAAGAUUAGCAUGGCCCCUGCACAAGGAUGACACGCAAAUUUACGAAGCAUUCCAUAUUUUU